rnacentral:ncRNA from 1 species
ACGGAAUAGCAGGGGAGCAUGUUUGCUGAGAGUGCGGGAAUCCUUCGUGAUUGCCUGCAGACCCUUAUACCUGAUACGGACAAUGCCGACACAGGGAGCUGCGCAAGUAAUAUC